UCUACGGGUGGCUGCAGUGGGGAAUAUUGGACAAUGGGCGAAAGCCUGAUCCAGCCAUGCCGCGUGUGUGAAGAAGGCCUUCGGGUUGUAAAGCACUUUCAGUGGGGAAGAAAGCCUUGGGGCUAAUACCCUCGAGGAAGGACAUCACCCACAGAAGAAGCACCGGCUAACUCCGUGCCAGCAGCCGCGGUAAUACGGAGGGUGCGAGCGUUAAUCGGAAUUACUGGGCGUAAAGCGCGCGUAGGCGGUCUGAUAAGCCGGUUGUGAAAGCCCCGGGCUCAACCUGGGAACGGCAUCCGGAACUGUCAGGCUAGAGUGCAGGAGAGGAAGGUAGAAUUCCCGGUGUAGCGGUGAAAUGCGUAGAGAUCGGGAGGAAUACCAGUGGCGAAGGCGGCCUUCUGGACUGACACUGACGCUGAGGUGCGAAAGCGUGGGUAGCAAACAGGAUUAGAUACCCGAGUGUC
rnacentral:rRNA from 1 species